UACAGAGGGUGCAAGCGUUGUUCGGAAUUAUUGGGCGUAAAGGGCGCGUAGGCGGUGCUGUAAGUCUGUAGUGAAAUCUCUGGGCUCAACUCAGAGUCUGCUAUAGAAACUGCAGUGCUGGAGUGUGGGAGAGGUGAGUGGAAUUCCCGGUGUAGCGGUGAAAUGCGUAGAUAUCGGGAGGGACACCUGUGGCGAAAGCGGCUCACUGGACCACAACUGACGCUGAGGCGCGAAAGCUAGGGGAGCAAACAGG
rnacentral:rRNA from 1 species